GUUGGAACAGGAGUCCCAAAACCUGGAAAAAGUUAUGCUGCUGGAGGAGCUGGAGUUUUACCAGGCAUACGUUACCCCAAUGGAGCUGGAGU